GCCACUCCGAUGGCCUAAUGGUUAGAGCGUCCGUCUCAGAAUCGGGCGGUCAUCUGUUCGAUCCCCGGUCUAGUGAUA